AGCAGCCGCGGUAAUACGGAGGGGGCUAGCGUUAUCCGGAGUUACUGGGCGUAAAGGGUGCGUAGGCGGUCUUUCAAGUCAGGAGUGAAAGGCGACGGGUGAACCGUAGUAAGCUCUUGAAACUGGGGGACUUGAGUGCAGGAGAGGAGAGUGGAAUUCCUAGUGUAGCGGUGAAAUGCGUAGAUAUUAGGAGGAACACCAGUUGCGAAGGCGGCUCGCUGGACUGUAACUGACGCUGAGGCACGAAAGCGUGGGGAGCAAACAGGAUUAGAUACCCUGGUAGUCCACGCUGUAAACGAUGAGUACUAGGUGUCGGGGGUUACCCCCCUCGGUGCCGCAGCUAACGCAUUAAGUACUCCGCCUGGGAAGUACGCUCGCAAGAG
rnacentral:rRNA from 1 species